ensembl:lncRNA
CCUGUUAACACAGAAUGGCAGUGCAAACCGCUUACCACUUUUAAGGGCUUGCAUUAAAUUCUCUUCUGUGUUCCCACUUGAAGGUUUCUUGCUCGACAGGUUUCCUGACAUAAAUGGGUCUUUAUAAUAAAUUGCCAAGUCAUUCUCAGAGAAGGCAAUGGCACCACACUCCAGUACUCUUGCCUGGAAAAUCCCAUGGAUGGAGGAGCCUGGUAGGCUAUAGUCCAUGGGGUCGCUAAGAGUCGGACAUGACUGAGCGACUUCCCUUUCACUUUUCACUUUCAUGCAUUGGAGAAGGAAAUGGCAACCCACUCCAGUGUUCUUGCCUGGAGAAUCCCAGGGACAGGGGAGCCUGGUGGGCUUCCGUCUAUGGGGUCGCACAGAGUCGGACACAACUGAAGUGACUUAGCAGCAGCAGCAGCCAAGUCAUUCUAAUGUACAGAAAACUAUGAAGUUCAGUUUUGUUUUUUGUGAAAUAAAGGCGAACUCUUGGCAGUUUCUGUAUAUGAAGUGAAAACUAUUUUUUAUUCUGGUCAUAAUUCUGCUAUGGGAAGAGUGUGUGUGUGUGAGUCACUUAGUCCUGCCCGACUCUGUGCAACCCCAUGGACUGUAAUCCACCGGGCUCCUCUGUCCGUGCGAUUCUCCAGGCAAGAAUACUGGAGUGGGUUGCCAUGUCCUCCUCCAGGGUUGGGGGAUCUUCCUGACCCAGGGAUCCAACCUAGGUUUCUGGCAUAGCAGGCAGAUUCUUUACCAUUUGAGCUACGCUCCAUGUGAGGGAGGGAAAUUGGGCCCAGUCUGUCAACCGUAACUCUGUUCCUGAGUAGUUAAUUACGUUAGUUAAUAUGCUAGCAAACCUGGGAAUGUCAAUGACACUUUUGCAAAUGAAACUUCCAUUUAAAAAAUAGCAUUGGUAUAUUUACACUUGUGCGUGAAAUAGGUCCCUAGCAGGAAGCAGUUGUAUAUCACAGGGAGCUCAGCUUCAUGCUCUGUGAUGACCUAGAGGGGUGGGGGGUGGGGGGUCGGGGGCGGCUCAAGAGAGAGGGGAUAUUUGUAUACACAUGGCUGAUUCACUUUGUUGCACAGCAGAAACUAACACAACAUUGUAAAGCGACUGUCCUCCAAUCAAAAGUAGUAAAUAAAACCACGGUUUGGUUUGCGCCCAAGCUAAGUUUUGCCAGGAGUGUCCUCUGUCAAAGACUGAGCUUUCUGCAGCUGGUUCGUCGUGAGUUGUUGAUUCGUAAGAAAAAUGAUAGAACCAGACACCUCCUUGUUGGCCUUAGACACAAAAAUAACUUCCUAUAAUACACUUUGCUGUUGCUUUGCUUUUGGUACAGGCAUGUGUUUGUAUAAAUAUCUUAGAAGUGAAAUGUACCUCAAGUUGGCAUGGGGC